UACCUAUAGGUCAAGUUGAGCAGAUAAGGUUCAGCUCGAUCUCAUGAUCCUCCCCCUGGGGAAGCUCGCUUCCCCGGGAGAGUGUGAUUUGGAGAGUCCCCGACCCUUGUGGACCAGGGCGGAUGGGGGUGUGAGGAGGCGAAUGUGGGAGGAGUGAGCUGUUGGAGUGGACCCUAAAUGACUACACUUUUUGAUGAUGGGAUUUUGAGGAGGCAGCAUUGCUCCCAACAGUGCAGAGGGGAACUUCACAGGCAAUGUGAUUUCUGCCUCACCCUCUCCGAUCACACGCCCUGGCAGCAGCUGACAGCCAUGUUGGUAGGACAUUGGUGGCCUCAAGGAGAGAAGUGGGCCUGAGGCACCUCAGUCCCAAGCCAGGGCCCCUUUGCCAGCCUGGGGAGCUGUCCAACCUGCAGCGAGAGCACCCAGCCCCAGCCAACCCUUCAGAUGACCCAGCCUGAGGACACAGCACCAGGACCACCCAGCCAAGCCACUCCUGAAUUCCCACCUCCCAGAAACGGUGGGAGACAAUGAAUGUUUACUGUUGUAUUAAACCAGUAAAUUCUGAAGAUAAUUUGUUAUAGAUAAUGUUUAAACACCGUGGGUUGUUUGUUUUUUUUUUUUGGUACUGGAGAUCGAAUUCGGGUCCUUGUGCUGGAAAGGCAGGCGGCGAAACCACUGAGCUAAAUCCCCGGCCCACCGUUUUAAUAGCUUGCGCUCAUGCUAUGAUGGCUGGAUCUUGGGGCAGUCCUGG
rnacentral:lncRNA from 1 species